rnacentral:tRNA from 1 species
GCCGGGGUGGCGAAACUGGCAAACGCUGCGGACUUAAAAUCCGUUGGGCUUCGGCUCUUGUGGGUUCAAGUCCCACCCUCGGCA